rnacentral:rRNA from 1 species
CGGAUGAACGCUGGCGGCGUGCCUAACACAUGCAAGUCGAACGGGACUGUAUCAGAUCUUUCGGAGUGAAGAUACAGUUAGUGGCGGACGGGUGAGUAACGCGUGGACAACCUGCCUCUCGACUGGGGGAUAGCAGGCUGGAAACGGCUGGUAAUACCGCAUGCGCUCCAUGCAUCGCAUGAUAUAUGGAGGAAAGAUUUAUCGGUGAGAGAUGGGUCCGCGUCUGAUUAGCCAGUUGGCGGGUAACGCCCACCAAAGCGACGAUCAGUAGCCGGCCUGAGAGGGCGGACGGCCACAUUGGGACUGAGACACGGCCCAGACUCCUACGGGAGGCAGCAGUGGGGGAUAUUGCACAAUGGGCGCAAGCCUGAUGCAGCGACGCCCGCGUGAGUGAAGAAGUAUUUCGGUAUGUAAAGCUCUAUCAGCAGGGAAGAAAGGCCCUUUUUUGGGAGAUGACGGUACCUGACUAAGAAGCCCCGGCUAACUACGUGCCAGCAGCGGC